GUGUCAGCAGCCGCGGUAAUACGGGGGGGGCAAGCGUUGUUCGGAAUUACUGGGCGUAAAGGGCGCGUAGGCGGCCUGCUAAGUCGGAUGUGAAAUCCCUCGGCUCAACCGAGGAACUGCAUCCGAUACUGGCGGGCUUGAAUCCGGGAGAGGGAUGUGGAAUUCCAGGUGUAGCGGUGAAAUGCGUAGAUAUCUGGAGGAACACCGGUGGCGAAGGCGGCAUCCUGGACCGGUAUUGACGCUGAGGCGCGAAAGCUAGGGGAGCAAACGGGAUUAGAUACCCCGGUAGUCC
rnacentral:rRNA from 1 species